rnacentral:lncRNA from 1 species
CCAUUCCCCUUUUUUUCACUUCUUCUCUCACUAAUGUACUAUUUCUCUCUCUCUCUAAACCUUUGAAAAAUGGAAGAAAUGAAAGUGUGGAGAGGAAGGGAAGGGGAAGAGCAAUUUAUAGAAUUUCUAAACCGUUGGAUUCGCACCAGGUAACAAAAUUCGGUGAAGAAAGAGGAGAAAAAGAUGCUCGGCACCAAAAAUGAGGGUGGAUGACCUCCUUCGCCGACAGCGCUAGUGUGGAGGGGACGUGCGUGCUGUACGCACGUCUCGUGCAUGAAGGCGUGAGGAUGGGGCGUGCGUAUUAUGCAGAUUCCCCGCGGCCAUUGGGGGCGCAUGUGUGCACGCACAGUGCCCAACACCUGCGCGGGUAAACAGCCCU